GAUGCUGAGCCAAAGCCUCAUAUUCCUGUGGUGGAGGUUGUGUCUGAUGAGGAGACAGACACUGCCAACUUGCCCUUCUCUCCCAGGGUCAUAGAAUGGAUUAAGCAUGGUUUUGAGAAAGUAGUUCCUCAGUCUCCUGUCCAUCUUCGUCCUCCCGCUGGCACAGAUGCACCCACCCAGAAGGUUGCUUCUGCACCUGUGACUCCCUGCAAACAAGAGCCAGCACCUGCACCUGCACCUGCACCAACACCUGCUCCUGCACCUCCACCUCCACCUGCAUCUGCACCAGCACCUCCACCUGCACCUGCAGCCCCGUCUGCACCUCCACCUGCACCAGCA